rnacentral:rRNA from 1 species
CUACGGGAGGCUGCAGUAAGGAAUAUUGGGCAAUGGACGCAAGUCUGACCCAGCCAUACCGCGUGCAGGAUGACAGCCCUACGGGUUGUAAACUGCUUUUAUACGGGAAAAAUUCCCUGGUCGUGCACCGGGGUUGAUGGUACCGUAAGAAUAAGCAUCGGCUAACUCCGUGCCAGCAGCCGCGGUAAUACGGAGGAUGCAAGCGUUAUCCGGAUUCAUUGGGUUUAAAGGGUGCGCAGGCGGAAUGAUAAGUCAGUGGUGAAAUCCUACGGCUCAACUGUAGAACUGCCAUUGAUACUGUUGUUCUUGAGUACAUUUGACGUGGGCGGAAUGUGUCAUGUAGCGGUGAAAUGCUUAGAGAUGACACAGAACACCGAUUGCGAAGGCAGCUCACUAAACUGUAACUGACGCUGAGGCACGAAAGCGUGGGGAUCAAACAGGAUUAGAUACCCCCGUAGUC